CCUACGGGGGGCAGCAGUCGAGAAUCAUUCACAAUGGGGGAAACCCUGAUGGUGCGACGCCGCGUGGGGGAAUGAAGGUCUUCGGAUUGUAAACCCCUGUCAUGUGGGAGCAAAUUAAAAAGAUAGUACCACAAGAGGAAGAGACGGCUAACUCUGUGCCAGCAGCCGCGGUAAUACAGAGGUCUCAAGCGGUGUUCGGAAUCACUGGGCUUAAAGCGUGCGUAGGCUGUUUCGUAAGUCGUGUGUGAAAGGCGCGGGCUCAACCCGCGGACGGCAGAUGAUACUGGGAGACUAGAGUAAUGGAGGGGGAACCGGAAUUCGCGGUGUAGCAGUGAAAUGCGUAGAUAUCGAGAGGAACACUCGUGGCGAAGGCGGGUUCCUGGACAUUAACUGACGCUGAGGCACGAAGGCCAGGGGAGCGAAAGGGAUUAGAUACCCGAGUAGUC
rnacentral:rRNA from 1 species